UCAAAAAAAUUCACUUUUUUUGAAAUAUUUUUCCAUUUUUCCCUUGUGUAUCUAUUCCAUGUUGCUUCCACUAGACAGGUAAUUAUAUCAACCGUAUAUAUUUACCCUUCAUACCUUAAUUGUUUUUUUUAAACACUAUGGGGCGUGGAGAAAUGUCAGUGGAUGGCCGUAAUUUUUAAGACAUGUUUUUUUAUAUAUAGUCUGAUAAGAGUGAUAAUAAAUAAAAAA
rnacentral:misc_RNA from 1 species